AUUGAACGCUGGCGGCAGGCCUAACACAUGCAAGUCGAGCGAGCGGCGGCCGGGUGAGUAAUGUCUGGGAAACUGCCUGAUGGAGGGGGGUAACUACUGGAAACGGUAUCUCAUACCGCAUACCAUCAGAUGUGCCCAGAUGGGAUUCGCUAGGAGGUGGGGUAAUGGCUCACCUAGGCGACGAUCCCUAGCUGGUCUGAGAGGAUGACCAGCCACACUGGAACUGAGACACGGCCCAGACUCCUACGUGAGGCAGCAGUGGGGAAUAGUGGACAAUGGGGGCAAGCCUGAUGCAGCCAUGCCGCGUGUGUGAAGAAGGCCUUCGGGUUGUAAAGCACUUUCAGCGGGGAGGCGUUACCCGCAGAAGAAGCACCGGCUAACUCCGUGCCAGCAGCCGCGGUAAUUC
rnacentral:rRNA from 1 species